AAUCUUGCUGCGUCCACUCUCUGUAUAAUGAGCCAAUGGCCAACGUCUUUGAGCAUGAUGGUGAGCUUUUAGGCAGAGAUUACUACCAAGUCGUGGGGACCUGCAAUGGGUUGGUCUGUUUCCAUGUAGAUUACAACAAAAGCUUCUACUUGUGGAACCCCACCAUCAAGGUUCAACAAAGAUUGCGUGGUUCGGAUCUUGAAACGGGAGAUGAGGUUGUUGUAAACUAUGGAUUUGGUUAUGAUGAAUCUGAAGAUGACUAUAAGAUAGUUGCAUUGUUGCAGCAAAGACAACAACUGAAGACAGAGGCAAUGAUCUACUCAACGAGGCAGAAGCUAUGGAGAAGAAGAAGCAGCAGCAACACUUGUUUUCCAUCUGGAGUUGUUCUUGCUAACAAAUCAAGAUCCGGCAUCUACAUCAAUGGAACACUAAACUGGGCAGCCACUCACUCCUCAUCAUCAGUUUCUACCAUCAUAUCAUACGAUAUGUCCCGAGAUGUGUUCAAGGAGCUUCUUGGACCAGGCUGUUGCAAGAGAGGAUGUUUUACAAUGACACUUGGAGAUUUGAGAGGAUGUCUUUCGAUGGUGUGUUAUUGCAAAGGAGCAAAAGCAGAUGUUUGGGUGAUGAAGGAGUUUGGAGAAAGAGAAUCUUGGUCUAAACUAUUGAGCAUUCCCGGUUUGACUGAGUUUGUUAGACCGCUUUGGAUCUCAAGAGAUUUCGUGGUUUUGUUGGAGUUUAGAUCCGGUUUAGCUCUAUACAACUGUGCCAAUGGGAAGUUCCAGUACCCAGUUCAAGACAGCUUGAGCGGUUGUCGGGACGCUAAAGUCUAUGUCAAGACAUUGGUUUCUCCAAGGGACCUUUAAGAUUGGCUCUAUACACAUUGUUUUCACUUUGGAUUUGGUUCAGUUUAUCUGCGCACCAUUGUUAUACAUCUACUUAAAAGGUAUUUUUUGUUCGUUCUUUAAUCGUAAAGUUACAUUUUUCAUGUGGGAAACAAUAUAAAAAAAAGCAAUCAGUCAAAUAUUCCCUAACAAAAUCAUCACCAUACCAACACACACAUCCUUUUGCUCUGUGUCUACGUACAUGGAAGAAUCUGGACCGUUAGAUCAAACAGUUGGAUGAUAAAAAAAUUCUCAGGAGGCUAUUUUAUCUGAGGUGGAGCUCCGACCAGAUCCUGGACUGGUGAAGACAGGAUUGUCUCUAGGCGUAGAGGAAGCUCCACGACCACUUGCACUGUUUCCCAUAUCUUUAGUCUUAUGAAGCAGAAACGUUCCUGACAAAAUAGUCACAAAACCGCACAGUUGUGUAGCGAUCUUUAACCCGCUCUGCGAAGCCCAGUCCUAUAAAUUACAUAGAGGAGAGGUUAAGAACAUGUUGUGUGAUGUUAGAUGGAGUUUAACUUGGGAGGGAAGAAAAGGAUUUGACCUUGAACAUGAUCAUACUAGCUAUAAUGGUGAAAGUUUAAUUUGUGUGAGAACUCUUCACUGUAGAAUAAUGCUAAUUUGUGUUAUGGGAAUUUUGCAUAGACAAAGGUGAAAGAGAUUGUUGAAGAUUAUUGCCAUGUUGAAGAGUCAGGUAUGCCUUUUUUUUUUUUGUUUAAUGAGUAGUAGAUGAAUAUGAUUUUAUAAAGAUGAAUCUUACAGAGGCUUACUUGGAGUAUUUACGAAAGGAGCUUCAUUCCGCUGAGGCUGAAAGUGCCAAGGUUUCUCAAGAAAUUGAGCGUCUUUCCAAAGCUCAUGCGGAAGGUUUGUUAUUAUUACAUUUCGUGUAUGCCAUCCAAGUCCUGUUGUUAUUUUUCUUUAUUAAUAUGAUUUUUUGUUAGACUCUACUAGGCUGGAAUCGGAUCUUGAAGGUCUUCUAUUCUCACUGGAUUUUCUCUCAUCUCAGGUUACUCACUUUACUUUCUUUCCCCUUUGCAUUGUAACUUAUUUACUGAGUUGAAUACAUGAACUUUCCUGGUAAAGUCCCAAGUUUGAGGGUUCUGUGGUUUUCAUUUAGGAUGUGGACAAGUCAAAAGAGAACUUACCGUCCAGCAGCUCAAUGGAAGUAUGUGAUGUGGAUUAUGACGAGAAAUUUAAGGUGCGUGUCUGUGAACAAUCUCAACAAAGUUUCAUCUUUCUGACAUCUGAUCUUCCACUUUUUCCAACUAUUGCUUACUCUGAUUGAUGUGGCAGAAAGUGCAAAACUACUUUUGCAGAAAGUACGUACUGUCCUUGAUAGUUCUAGUUUCCCCUUCCUUGAAUAACUUCGUAGUGGUUAAGGGUUAGCAUCAAAAUGUUAUUCCUGCUUGUCUUCAUGUUGUUUUAUGUUGUGCAGAGAUGAAUUCAUAUUUGUUUCUAGAUUAGACCUCUACCACCUUCUCUGCUUAGUUUCUAUACACCCUUUUCACAUGUUUUUCAGAUGUUUGAACUUGAGAAUCAGAUUGAGGAGAAAAAGGUGAUUCUCAAGUCAUUAGAAGAUCUGGAUUCUGUACGUGAAAGGUAAUGCACUGUGCUUUCAGAUUUACGCCCUUACAAUGACUUUAUUUGGGUUCUUCACCUUUUCUACCUUCAGGUUUGAUGCUACAGAACAGGUUGAGGACGCAUUCACAGGCUUGAGGGUUCUCAAGUUUGAUGAAAACUUCAUUACGCUCCAACUGCGAACAUGUAUUCCAAAACUAGAUGGCUUGCUUGGACAGCACGACCUUGUGCACACUACUGAACCAUCUGAAUUGAUCCAUGAAUUGCUAAUUCAUCUCAAGGAUAAAACUACAGAGAUAACAAAAGUUGAGGUAAGAACACGCCUCCGAGUUUUUACCACCGACGUGUUUUUGUUUGAGUUUUGCAUGAAUAUAAAUGAACUUUUUUGUUACUUCCUAUUUCCUUUCGUGAAUAAUACUAAAAUCUACUUUUCUCCCUCAGAUGCUUCCAAAUGAUGUAUACAUAGGAGACAUCAUUGACGCUGCUGAUUCUCUCAGGUUUGUGCUCUGGCUUCUUUGUGUUGUCCUGAAAUUUGGUUUGCUUAUCAAUCUUGAAUUUUACUGCUACUUAAGUUAUAGAUUAAUAAGGAAUCAUAGACAAGAUGAUAUUUUUCUAUCUAUUCUUGCUAUCAAAACCUUGCACUUGAUAAAUUUGUUGGUUUUCAAAAGGUUACUCAGACUCUGGUUUGAGUGUUUCCAAUUGUAUGAACCUUUUGAGCUAAACUAGUUCAUGUAAUUACAUGGCAAGAAAACCCUGGGAUGACUGUUCUCUAUCAUCUAGGUCUUGUGUUUCAGUAUAGAUAUUUUUUUUGGGACAACAGUGUUUCAGUAUAUAAGCUAUGGCUUUCUAGCCCUUUUGCCGGAUCUGCAGUUUUCUAAAUUUCUGUUAAUACUAACUUUCUUCUGGUAACAUAGCUUCAGUAAGUUGAAUUAAUGUAUAAACAAAAAAGGGUAUCCCUUAAAAGUGCAGGCAGAUAAGAUUACACUCUGCAUUGCUAGACAGAUAAGAUUACACUUGUGUACCAUAAAAUAUCUUAAAACUGCAGGCAGAUAAGAUUACACUCUGCAUUGCUAGACACAAGAUCUUCACUCCAGUGGCUUGUCGCCAAGGUGAAAGAAAGAAUUAUUUCGGCCACUUUAAGAAAAUGUAUGGCGAAAAGUUCGAAAACAAUCAGGUGAGUCUUUCCUUUCCAGUAGCUUGGGACUAGAUGAAUUUUUUUUUUCCGAUAGGAAAUUCAUGUUUUUAAGCAAGCCAAUUCACUGCAUAAUCUUAUGACAGGCACACGUUCGAAUACUACGACAAAGAUGAAACAAUUGUGGCUCAUACAGCCGGAGGUAUCGAUGCAUUUUUAAAAGUCUCUGAUGGUUGGCCGCUGCUGAAUUCUCCACUAAAGCUCGCAUCUCUCAAGAACUCUGAGAAUCAUUCAAAUGGAAUCUCGCUGAGCCUAAUCUGCAAAGUAGAAGUAAGACCCUUCAAUACUUCUCGAUUUUAAUAAUUUCACCAUAGGAAAAGCUCUGCUUGCUAAAAAAUAAUGAUUGGAUGUUAGUUUCUGGUUUUAAUCAGCUUAACGAUUUUAUAACUUAAUCUAAUAUAUGUCAGGAACUAGCGAAUUCACUGGAUUUACAGACCCGGCAAAACUUAUCAAGCUUCAUGGAUGCUGUUGAGAAGAUACUUAUGCAGCAAAGUCGUGAGGAACUCAAUUCCAGUGAACCUUCCCAAAAGUGAGUUACCAAGAAAACGUCCUUAACUCCAUAACCUAACAUGUUUUGAGAAGUUUGUUGCGUGUUUGCUAUCUGCAACCCUUUUGUCGUAAUACUUUUGAAAUAACUUCUGCCAGGGUCGAAUCAUAUCUAAUGAUGAAGCUUGUUUUGCUUUAUGCUUAUGAAAAGAGCAAAUGUGAUAACAGAUUUGACAUGAAAGAGCCAAACUUUUAUUGUCCUAUAACUUCUUCUGGUCCUACCCAUUAGCCUUAUUGUCCUCAAGUUGCCUUCAAAUGUCCACAUCUUUACCCACUAUACUUAUGUCAUAAUGUAUGUAUAUGUACCAUUAUAAUUCAUAUUUUACAUUAUCUUCAUACACGCAUCUCCGCUGUUCCCACACCCACUUGUGCAUAUAACUAAAGAAAGAAAUAAUCUCCACUUUCUUUUUCCUAUAUAUUUAACUGCUGCAAGACUACUGGUUGAAAGCCAAGAAGCUCAGAGGUUCCUCUGCUCACACUCAUGGAGGAACCCAUCAUAGAGAGCUUCUUCUUCCCUCCAACUAACCUUCCUCCUGAAAUGAUGGAAGAGAUUCUCUUAAGACUACCCGUGAAGUCACUGAAGCGAUUCAAAUGCGUUUGCACCUCAUGGAGGUCUUUGAUCUCAGACACUCUGUUUACUCUGAAACACGCUUUGAUGUUGGAGGCGUCCAAGGCAACCACUUACAAGAAGAGUCCAUACGGAGUCAUCACAACGUCUCGGUACCAUCUCAAAUCUUGCUGCGUCCACUCUCUGUAUAAUGAGCCAAUGGCCAACGUCUUUGAGCAUGAUGGUGAGCUUUUAGGCAGAGAUUACUACCAAGUCGUGGGGACCUGCAAUGGGUUGGUCUGUUUCCAUGUAGAUUACAACAAAAGCUUCUACUUGUGGAACCCCACCAUCAAGGUUCAACAAAGAUUGCGUGGUUCGGAUCUUGAAACGGGAGAUGAGGUUGUUGUAA
rnacentral:lncRNA from 1 species